rnacentral:rRNA from 1 species
GCUAAACGCGAAGAACCUUACCAGGGUUUGACAUCCCUUGAAUUAUGCCGAAAGGCGUGAGUGCUUUAUUGAACAAGGUGACAGGUGAUGCAUGGCCGUCGUCAGCUCGUGUCGUGAGAUGUUUGGUUAAGUCCAUCAACGAGCGCAACCCUUGUCUUCAGUUGGAUUUUUCUGAAGAGACUGCCCCGGCAACGGGGAGGAAGGAGGGGAUGAUGUCAGGUCAGUAUUUCCCUUACAUCCUGGGCUAGAAACGCAAUACAAUGGCGAGUACAAUGCGCAGCGAAGCGGCAACGUGAAGCAAAUCGCAUCAAAACUCGUCCCAGUUCGGAUUAGAGGCUGAAACUCGCCUCUAUGAAGUCGGAAUCGCUAGUAAUCGCAAAUCAGCAAGUUGCGGUGAAUACGUUCCCGGGUCUUGUACACACCG